GACGAACGCUGGCGGCGUGCUUAACACAUGCGAGUCGAACGGAAAGGCCCUGCUUUUGUGGGGUGCUCGAGUGGCGAACGGGUGAGUAGCACGUGAGUAACCUGCCCUUGACUUUGGGAUAACUUCAGGAAACUGGGGCUAAUACCGGAUAGGAGCUCCUGCUGCAUGGUGGGGGUUGGAAAGUUUCGGCGGUUGGGGAUGGACGCGCGGCUUAUCAGCUUGUUGGUGGGGUAGUGGCUUACCAAGGCUUUGACGGGUAGCCGGCCUGAGAGGGUGACCGGCCACAUUGGGACUGAGAUACGGCCCAGACUCCUACGGGAGGCAGCAGUGGGGAAUAUUGCACAAUGGGCGGAAGCCUGAUGCAGCAACGCCGCGUGCGGGAUGACGGCCUUCGGGUUGUAAACCGCUUUCGCCUGUGACGAAGCGUGAGUGACGGUAAUGGGUAAAGAAGCACCGGCUAACUACGUG
rnacentral:rRNA from 1 species